rnacentral:rRNA from 1 species
CCUACGGGGGGCUGCAGUGAGGAAUAUUGGUCAAUGGCCGCAGGGCUGAACCAGCCAAGUCGCGUGAGGGAUGACGGUCCUAUGGAUUGUAAACCUCUUUUGUCAGGGAGCAAAGGGCGCCACGUGUGGCGCUUUGCGAGUACCUGAAGAAAAAGCAUCGGCUAACUCCGUGCCAGCAGCCGCGGUAAUACGGAGGAUGCGAGCGUGAUCCGGAUUUAUUGGGGUUAAAGGGCGCGCAGGCGGAAUGUCAAGUCAGCGGUAAAAUUUCGGGGCUCAACCCCGUCGUGCCGUUGAAACUGGCGUUCUUGAGUGAGCGAGAAGUAUGCGGAAUGCGUGGUGUAGCGGUGAAAUGCAUAGAUAUCACGCAGAACUCCGAUUGCGAAGGCAGCAUACCGGCGCUCAACUGACGCUCAUGCACGAAGGCGUGGGUAUCGAACGGGAUUAGAUACCCGGGUAGUC